UACGUAGGGUGCAAGCGUUGUCCGGAAUUAUUGGGCGUAAAGAGCUCGUAGGCGGUCUGUCGCGUCGGCUGUGAAAACCCGAGGCUCAACCUCGGGCCUGCAGUCGAUACGGGCAAACUAGAGUACUGCAGGGGAGACUGGAAUUCCUGGUGUAGCGGUGAAAUGCGUAGAUAUCUGGAGGAACACCGGUGGCGAAGGCGGCGUCCUGGACCAACACUGACACUGAGGAGCGAAAGCCAGGGGAGCAAACGGG
rnacentral:rRNA from 1 species